AGUCGAGCGAUGAAAUUUUGACAGAUCCCUUCGGGGAGAAGAUAAAAUGGAUUAGCGGCGGACGGGUGAGUAACACGUGAGUAACCUGCCUUAGACAUUGGGAUAGCCUUGGGAAACCGGGAUUAAUACCGAAUAAAAUCACAGAUACACAUGUAUCCAUGAUCAAAACUCCGGUGGUCUAAGAUGGACUCGCGUCCCAUUAGCUAGUUGGUGAGGUAACGGCCCACCAAGGCGACGAUGGGUAGCCGGCCUGAGAGGGUGAACGGCCACAUUGGAACUGAGAAACGGUCCAAACUCCUACGGGAGGCAGCAGUGGGGAAUAUUGCACAAUGGAGGGAACUCUGAUGCAGCGACGCCGCGUGAACGAAGAAGGCUUUCGAGUCAUAAAGUUCUUUUAUAUGGGAAGAUAAUGACGGUACCAUAAGAAAAAGCCCCGGCUAACUACGUGCCAGCAGCCGCGGUAAUACGUAGGGGGCUAGCGUUGUCCGGAAUCACUGGGCGUAAAGGGUUCGCAGGCGGAAAUGCAAGUCAGAUGUAAAAGGCAGUAGCUUAACUACUGUAAGCAUUUGAAACUGCAUAUCUUGAGAAGAGUAGAGGUAAGUGGAAUUUUUAGUGUAGCGGUGAAAUGCGUAGAUAUUAAAAAGAAUACCGGUGGCGAAGGCGACUUACUGGGCUCAUUCUGACGCUGAGGAACGAAAGCGUGGGUAGCAAACAGGAUUAGAUACCCUGGUAGUCCACGCUGUAAACGAUGAGUGCUAGGUGUCGGCUUAAGUCGGUGCCGCAGUUAACACAAUAAGCACUCCGCCUGGGGAGUACGUGCGCA
rnacentral:rRNA from 1 species